rnacentral:lncRNA from 1 species
GAAGAGAAGUUUGUUAAUGUUAGUAGUUGAUAAAAAUUAUUUACACGAAAAUGCCUUUAAAUGGUAUCAGGUCUCAUUUGUUUUCAUUUUGAAUUUGAAUGCACACAUCUGAAUAUUAAAUAGUUGAAGAUUGAUUACUUCUCAACAUUUUAAUAUAUAAAAUUUGUCUUUGUUCAAAAGGUAAUAAAUAUAAAAUCAAAAUAAAUUAUAAAACUAAUAUAAUAUCAUAUCAAUGAAAUAUUUUUAAAUUCUAUAUAGCAAUUGGUGCUAGUGAUGACUAAUAAUGAUGGUUAUGGAUAAUAACUACAUGAUAUAAUAGUUGAUAGCUAAUGAUAUGAACUAUUACGAUUAAUAAUGAUGGUUAGCAACAUAUAAACACUAAACAUCUUCAUAAUCCUAUCAUACAAUAUUUACUUUCUUAUAAUUUUCUAACUUCCUUUGCAAUUAUUGUUACCCUGCAGACUUUUCCUGAUGAAUUUUUGAAGCAUCUGAAGGGACAUGAUCAGUAUGAACAUGCAAUAUUGAGAUGGGCUAGUAAGUGAUAACGAAGUCAGAAAUUUUAUAAAAAAUAUUCAUAAUUUGAUGUGUCGGUAUUUAUAUUACUGUCUAUUUUUAUCUUUGUAUUCAUUUAAGAAAUCUCUCUUAUUAGGAGAUCUAUUUUUAUGGUUGAGAAUGUUGUAUUUCAAUAGCAUUUUUUUUUUACAAUUAAUGAAAUAAAAUAAUAAAUCUAUCUUGAUUUUUUAAAAUGAACGAGUAAAAAAAAAAAAAAAGUUUUUCAAUAUUGAGUAAGUAAAAGGAAACCGAGGAAGUAUGUAAGAAUAACAAGUUAUAUUUUUUUUUUACCUAUGUAUAAUUUUUCUUAUAACUAACUAUCCUUCAUUCUUUAUGAUUACGUGAUUGCAGAUAAAAAUUGGCCGGUGAAAUUGAACGGUGUGAGACUAGAAGACGGUCUUGAAAAGUUUGUAGAGCAAAAUAACUUGGAGGAGGGAGAAAUAUUGUCAAUCGAAUACGAAGGAAAUAUGAAAUUUGAAGCUAUCAGGUUUGAUCCGUCUAAACAAUGUGAGAUAUUAGAAGUACAACCAAGGGCACCAAAAGUUGUGAAGAGUUCUGACGAAUCUAAAUCCAAAGGUAAAAGUUCUAUAAGAUAAAGGUGAAAAAUGAUAUUUGAAAAAAAAAAAAAAAAGAAGUUAAACAAGAGUAUAUAGUGUGUUAUUUAUUGCUUAUUAGCUUCAUGCAAUAUUUUUUAUAUCGUCGUUAGAUAAUUAUCUUGAAAAACAUACUACUCAUUAGUAAUAUGAUUAAUUUAAAACUAAACUUAAUAUUACAUAUUAAAGUUCACUAAUAAUUUUAUUUAAAUUUUACCAUGCAGGAGCUGCUACACAGAAGCAUUUAGGUCAUCCCUAUUUUGUAUGUACCAUUAGACCAUAUUCUUUUAAAUAUGGUUACUUGGUAAGUCCAAUUUUAUUUAUUUUUUAAAUUUACAUACUUUAAUUGUGUUACAAAAGUAUUGUACUAUCACUAUAUUAUUGUAUUAAUAUGUUUAUUAAUUGUUUCAGUGUCUUCCUCUAGACUUUGUAACGAAAAACAAUCUCCGUCACAAGAUAGGGGAUUUGAUUAUUAGAGAUGAAAAACAGAGAUCGUGGAAUCUAAGACUAAAUUCUUUUAGUUCGAAACGAUUUGUUCUUAAUGGUGGAUGGCCUGAAUUUAGUAAUGCAAAUGAUAUAAAGGAGGGAGAUGAAGUAAUGUUUGAGAUUGUUUCUAAUGAAGAGAAACAAAUAUGGCAAUUCAAGAGUAAGUUUUUUUUUUUUUUCAUUUAAAGUAAUUACCUUAUUUUUCCAAUAAUUUUUAUUAAUUGCAAUAGUAGAAUAUUGUCACAUCAAUUAAAUAUAGUGAGUGAUUUUAAUUAGUCAAUCUCCCCUUAUAGAAAAUUCUGAAUCCAAUUUCAGAAGUUCGUACUGAGAAGCUUUUUGGUAAUUAACAUUUUUGUAUUAACUGUGGUUUUUUUUAAAUAAUAGACUACUGACACGUCAAUUAAAUUAUAGAAAAUAUCAUCUAAAUAUUACGAGUGAUUUUGAUUUUAAUUAUGUUACAGAAAAAGCAAGUAACAACGUCAAGUCAUCUCUCCUCGUAGAGCCCCCGAAAGUCAAGUCGCGGAAACCUUCUCAAAGACGAGAUAUUAAAGCUAUGAUGGUAGACGUUGUUCACAUGCCUGUUGGUAAUUCUCAUUUGAAUUUUGGUGUGCUUUUUGCAAUUAUAAAUAGUCGAUGCAUGAAAAAACAAUAUCUAAAUCUUGUGACUAAUUCUAAAUUGUUAACCAUGUAACAGAUAAACUAAUCCAUAAGAACAAGUCAUCUUUCGUUGCAAAGACCCCAAAAUCGAAGUCGAGGGAACUUCGUCAAAGACAGGAGCUUGAAGAUCAGACUUUAAAAGCUUUUCCUCACAAGUCUUUUGGUAAUCAUCUCAUCUUAUAUUCAAUAUGAUUUUAGAAACAACAAAAUACUGUUUAGUCAAUCUAAAAUUUUUUCCUUAAAGAAAAACCUAUUUAGGGUAAGAAAUUUAGGGCAAAUAAAAUCCAACAGUUUUGCUCUUUGCAAUAAUAGAUUAUUGUCGCGUUUGUUAAGUGAUUGAACAUAUCACUUGAAUGUAGUAAGUGAUUUUUAACUUUUAACUAUGUAACAGAUGAAUCAAACCACAACAUCAAGUCCGCUCCCCUUGCUAAGACCCCUAAACCUAAGUCGAGGAGACCUGCUGAAAGAGAUGAUUUUGAAGAUCGAUCGUUAGAAGCUGUUACUCACAAGCCCAAUGGUAAAUUUUUUAUUUUGGUUUGAUUUUAGCAGCAAUAUAAUACAAUCAUAUUAGUUAUGUGAUUGUACAUAUCAUUUGAAAUGUAUCGAAUAAUUUUAACAUUUUGGACAAGUCAAAUCACAAAAAUUUCAACUCGUCACCCCUUGCAGAGCCCUCUAAGUUAAAGUUGGGGGGGCUUCAUCAAAGACAGGAAUUUGAAGAAGGAACAUUUGAAGCUGCUACUCACAAGUCUCUUGGUAAUUUUCAUUUGUAUUUAGUUUGAUUAUAACAUCAAAUUAAGUUAUGAAAAUAUUAUCUAAAUAUCGCGAGUUAUAUUAACUUUUAAAUUGUGUAACAGAUAAACCAACUCACAAAAAACUCAAGUCAACGCCCCUCGCGGAGCCCUCUCAAUCCAAGCCGCGAGAACUUCCUCAAAAACAGAAUUUUGAAGAUCAGACGACAAAUGUUGCUACUCAAAAGCCUCAUGGUAAUUUUUCAUUUCAUAUACAAUGUGAUUUUUUUACAAUAACAAUAAUAAUGUCAAGUUAUAGAAAAUAUUAUCUAAAUAUUGCGAGUUAUAUUAACUUUUAAAUUAUGUAACAGACGAAUCAAACUACUACACCACUUCAUCAAAAGAGGCAACUCCCCUUAAAGAUGAUCCUCACAAAUCUAGUGACAAUCCUUGUAUUUUGAUCAAUGUUAAUCCCUAUUGCCUCGUGACCGAUACCUUGGUAAGUUCGAAAAAAAAAAAAAAAAACUUCAAUUUUUUUUUCAUGUAAGAAAUAUGAAGUAUAUACAACGUUUGAUUUUGAUUUAUUCGUAAACUAUUUCAGUUAAUCCCCGAAAAAUUUGCAUUGGCAAAUGAUCUCUUCAGAAUCAAGAAGUGUGAUUUGAUUAUCAGAGAUGAUAACGAUAGGUCGUGGAAUGUUACAUUACGCGAACAUAACAAUUAUGUUUUUAUUAAAGAUGGAUGGAAAAAAAUUCGCGAUACAUAUUACAUAAAGGAGGGAGAUCAGAUAAUGUUUGAGAUUGUUACUGGUGGAGAUAAACCAAUAUGGAAAUUUCAUGGUAAGUUUUCUUAUGACUAAAUUUUUUGUAUUUAUGUUAUUGAAUUUUUCUAACAAAUAUUAUUUUUACACUAAUUUUUUUCUUUUUUUUUGCAGGCAAAAUUUCAAAAGAAUUUGUAAAGAUGAUUCAACAGAAUGGACUUGAACAGUGAUUGAAGUUGUCUAUGAUGGAAAAGAAAAAUCAACAAUGAAGCAAAUUGAACACCCCCCCCCCCUCCUCUUAUAUUUUGGGUUUGCAAUGACUAUAAACUAUUUUAAUUUUUUUGGAAUAAUUCGAUGAGUUUAGUAAAUUAUAUGCAGACAAUGAAUAGACAUUAUUUGUGGCAUUGAAGAAUUAUUUUUGAUUUCGAUAUGAUGAUGUAGAAAACCUUAUAUACUAUAUGCAGACAAUGAAAAGACAUUAUUUGUGGCAUUGAAGAAUUAUUUAUGAUUUCGAUAUGAUGCUAUAGAAAAUCUUAUAUAUUAUAUUAUGCAGACAAUGAAUGGACGUUAUUUGUGGCAUUGAAGAACUAUUUCUGAUUUCGAUAUGAUAAUGUAGAAAAUCUUAUAUGCUAUGUAAGGUGCACAAAAUUUGAACUGGUUUAAUUUCUUAAAAAGGAGAGAAAUAUAUCAGCGAACUAAGUAAAAAAGAGAGAAAUCAUCGUAAAAAGCUUUAUCUUCGUUCUUUCUAAAAAAAAAUAAAAAUUCAAUCAUACAAUAUAAAUAUCAUAUAACCAUGAAGCAAAAUUUACUAAUUUGACUAAAACAGAUUCGCAAAAAACACUUGUCACUUACAAUUAUGAUUUUAUUAAGCCAUAUUAAAAAUAUUGAGAUUUUUUUUUUUUUUAUGAUACAACUCAAACGAUCCCUGAUUCAGAAUUUAAAUUAUACAACGACGAUCGUUGCCAAAACAACAAAUAAACCAAAGGAAACUGACAAUUUUGUAGCAGAUGAUGGUGGUGGGGCCUGAUCAGCGGGAGGUGUGUCAGCGUCAGGUGCAGAUGACGGUGCGUCCUGAGAAGGAGCAGGGGCCUCUGCUUCUUCAGCGGGGGCCUCUGCUUCUUCCUCAGCGGGGGCCUCUGCUUCUUCAGGGGCCUCUGCUACCGGUGAUUUUUUAGGCGUGUGUGCCUUUGGUGGUGGAGCUGAAAUCGGUGCCAUUGUUCCAUCGAGACCAGGCGUAACAAUAGGUUGAGAAAUUCCAAGAAUCGAGAUAUUGUAAGGCUGAUUCAUAACGGAUUUCUCAAGUUUUGAAUCUCUUUGAGCACCAACUACAGCUGAACCAAACACGAAACUACCAUCUUUAGCAGUAACAUUUAGGAAACCUUGAUCAUACGCUGCUUUACCAGAUUGUUGAAACAUUGUCGUCAUCUUCGCUGUUUUGUCCUUCAUCUUCUGAAGUUUCAUUGGAUCGUAGUAAUCCAAUACGACAUGUGUAGCCAACACUCUCUUAAGAACAUCAUCUGAUUUCGAUGUAAGAUCACCAACUGCACCAUUUGGUACAGCUAAAAGUGUAAUUGUACCCCUCGAAUUAAUAUCGCUAGCUAAGCCAGAUUUCGAUAGAAGUUCAUUGAAUGUACUGUAAUCGGAAUAUUGACCGAGGAUUUUUGUGAUAUUAAAGGCUGAGGCAGAGGACGCGAACAAGAUUAAGAAUGAACAUAGCAAAGGAAUAGUUGAGCGACUCAUUUUUGCUGGUGUUCUUUUUUCCGAUUUUUCUUAAAAAAACCAGCAAAAAUGAGAGAUUUAUUGUUUAUUAAGAGAAAAAAACGAACUCCGACUUGC